rnacentral:miRNA from 1 species
CAAUGGGGAGGAGUCAUUCGUA